ACUUCUGGAAACGGAUGCUAAACCGGAUAGGUAGCAGACAAGCAUUUGACUGCUAUUAAAGUGGCUAAGGCCAUGAACAUGGAUGGACCUGCGGUGCAUUAGCUAGUUGGUGAGGUAACGGCCCACCAAGGCGACGAUGCAUAGCCGGCCUGAGAGGGCGGACGGCCACAUUGGGACUGAGACACGGCCCAAACUCCUACGGGAGGCAGCAUG
rnacentral:rRNA from 1 species